ACAAUGAUACUUCCGUCCAGCCUUAGCCGCAAGCAAAGGGGGCGGCCGGCAGAGAUCCUGCCGGGGGUGAGAUUCCCAUGA
rfam:Subdoligranulum sp. 4_3_54A2FAA genomic scaffold supercont1.10, whole genome shotgun sequence.